UCGCGUUACAUUGGUCGAAUUCCAUGAAACCGAAACCGAUUCCAAUUAUUCUCGAUUGCGCGCAUUACAUUUUUUUCUUUUUCGAAUCUUCAUCGGUGUUUACAAACAAAAAUCACUGUUUGACACGACAACCCGCCAGUGUUCUUGAUUCCAUUGGAGAAUUAUUGGCCCACGUGAUUUCUAUGGAUCGAUCAUAAAAAUUCAAUCCAUAAGAUGAUUGUGGAGAUGAACUAACAGCCGAACAAAUCGUAUUAUUAUUUUCAUUGAUUUUUUAAUAAGAAUAUGAUGAGUGAUGAACCCAAUGUCAUCACGAAAAAUACGAUGGCUGAGUUGGAGCAGUUUUUUUCAGAAGUAAUCAAUUUCUGCCUGGCAAAUUAACAAACCAAUUUAGAAGCGUCCCUACCCUAGUAGCACUGAUGUCCGAAAGCCAACUAUAAGGAUUAUGGCAAGGUCUUUGGAGUAUUCGCAUGGGGCUUAUUGAUCUAGGCGAGAUUUCCUGGUUACCACAAACGUUUUGCAGUCAGUGGCUUCCACAACCAAUGUGACCAAUGUCUGAAGAGCAUAUUUCAGAGGAUCAGAUCUUCAGGCAACAAUCAGACAACAGAUCAACAGUGAUGGAUAGCAAGGAUGGGGCAUGAUAACCGACGAGGACGAGGAACACAAUGAUACGACGUUUAGCAGCACGAUCAUUGGAAUCAACAAACAUGAGGAUGCAACAGAGGAACAGUAGCAAAGCUCGCAUACUCGAGCUUCACGUUGCAGCACACGCCCGAAUUUUCAGACAACUCAAUGAUCUCGUCGAAUUGAAUGGUUCGAACGACAUCCGCAGGGACAGCGAGCCCCCAGGGACAGAAAAAGCGGUACCGAUAGCAGCCAACAAACGAAGAUUGCACGAAGAAAACAACAACGUUUGGUUGUACGUAAAAUUGUUUAAAAUCUAUUUGCAUACAUUCCAAUUGGCAUUUCAAUAUUACGUGAUCUGUUACGCGAAUUUUAUAUCGUUUUUGAAUUUUUUAUGUACAAAGAAUUCUGUUUUACUAUAACAUUUUGUUAUAAAACGAUUUGUGGUAAAAUUUUUAAUUUUUUAA
rnacentral:lncRNA from 1 species